GUGGGGAAUAUUGGACAAUGGGCGAAAGCCUGAUCCAGCCAUGCCGCGUGUGUGAAGAAGGUCUUCGGAUUGUAAAGCACUUUAAGUUGGGAGGAAGGGCAGUAAGUUAAUACCUUGCUGUUUUGACGUUACCGACAGAAUAAGCACCGGCUAACUUCGUGCCAGCAGCCGCGGUAAUACGAAGGGUGCAAGCGUUAAUCGGAAUUACUGGGCGUAAAGCGCGCGUAGGUGGUUUUGUAAGUUGGAGGUGAAAUCCCCGGGCUCAACCUGGGAACUGCCUCCAAAACUGCAUGACUAGAGGACGGUAGAGGGUAGUGGAAUUUCGUGUGUAGCGGUGAAAUGCGUAGAUAUAGGAAGGAACACCAGUGGCGAAGGCGACUACCUGGACUGAUACGGACACUGAGGUGCGAAAGCGUGGGGAGCAAACAGGAUUAGAUACCCCAGUAGUCC
rnacentral:rRNA from 1 species